UUGAAGUCCGUUGAGUUGAAGUUUUAGGUUGAUUACAGAUUAUUGAUCAAACUUCACCUCCCGCUUUAAGGGCACUGUUGAGUUUAUACCUUUUACAUUUGUUAAACAUACUAUAUUUUGGUAAUUUUCAGACACACGGUACUGCCCUAUGCCACCGUUGUGACUAUGGCGCUCGUCACGUAUACGUCUCCGACAAGCCGAUGACAGCCCACAACAGCGAUGGCGGAGAAGGCAACAAUGACAGCAACGGCGAGGGUGAAACGGCCGCCGAAGGUGAUCCCGUCUCAAGUGUUUGAAGCAUCGCCGACUACCACCUCCACAAGAUCGUCGAGUGGUGCACAAGUCUUCCACUCUUCAAAAACAUGCAGAUUUACGACCAGAUUUCGCUGAUGAUAAACACGUGGUGCGAGCUGUUCACCUGUUGCUUCCGCUCGGUGACCACUCCAGGCGGUAUCCGCAUUUCCCACGGAAAGUCCAUCACCAUGGAGCAAGCCCACGCCCUGGGCCUCAGCUCUUGCAUCGAGCGCAUGUUGGAUCCACUUCACCGACCACUAGUGGAGGCUCCGAGUCGACCACUUCGAAUCCGCCAUGAAGCUCUACAAUGAACUUGUGCUCCAUAUACCAGAUCUGGAACGCACUUGCCCGGUUGGCAAAACCAUGCUGACCGUCAACUGUGAGGAAGACGGCCAAGGAUUCAAUGUGUUGAUCACUUCACACUAACCGAAUAAGAGAAUUAAUAUUUUUUAUAGUAAUUUCUUUACUUUGGGUGACCUUUUGACGAAACAAUUUCGGACUCGUUUGGCGUGUUGUCCGGACACGAUUCUCGACUGUGAUGGAAGCUCCGCACCGAAAUGGAUUCCCAUCGUGCACGUGAAACUUGGCUUGCAGACUUACUGACUUACGGCAUCGCUCUAUGCAACCGUUUGGACAAUGACGCCCGGUGCCGAGCUACGACUGCGAGAUUACUACACGACAAUCGAUUUCUAUAACACUGAUCUCAAUGAAACAUUUUUUUAUUAUAAA